rnacentral:tRNA from 1 species
GCCCGGGUGGCGAAACUGGCAGACGCAAAGGACUUAAAAUCCUUUUCGCCGCAAGGCGAGUGCGGGUUCAAGUCCCGCCCCGGGCACCA